rnacentral:tRNA from 1 species
AAGCCUGUAAUUUAGUGGUAGAAUGCUUUUUUGAUGAGAAAUCCGCAGAAGUUCGAAUCUUCUUGGGCUUA